AUAUGCAACUGAAAGACCCCCGAAGGGAGACCCUCACUCAAGCCUCGGGACAGCCGCGGACCCAAGAAGACACUGAGACCG
rnacentral:pre_miRNA from 7 species